rnacentral:rRNA from 1 species
UAACACAUGCAAGUCGAGCGGUAGCACAAGGGAGCUUGCUCCCUGGGUGACGAGCGGCGGACGGGUGAGUAAUGUCUGGGGAUCUGCCUGAUGGAGGGGGAUAACUACUGGAAACGGUAGCUAAUACCGCAUAACGUCGCAAGACCAAAGUGGGGGACCUUAGGGCCUCAUGCCAUCGGAUGAACCCAGAUGGGAUUAGCUAGUAGGUGGGGUAAUGGCUCACCUAGGCGACGAUCCCUAGCUGGUCUGAGAGGAUGACCAGCCACACUGGAACUGAGACACGGUCCAGACUCCUACGGGAGGCAGCAGUGGGGAAUAUUGCACAAUGGGCGCAAGCCUGAUGCAGCCAUGCCGCGUGUGUGAAGAAGGCCUUAGGGUUGUAAAGCACUUUCAGCGAGGAGGAAGGAUGAAGUGUUAAUAGCACUUGAUAUUGACGUUACUCGCAGAAGAAGCACCGGCUAACUCCGUGCCAGCAGCCGCGGUAAUACGGAGGGUGCAAGCGUUAAUCGGAAUUACUGGGCGUAAAGCGCACGCAGGCGGUCUGACAAGUCAGAUGUGAAAUCCCCGAGCUUACUUGAUUCGAUGCAACGCGAAGAACCUUACCUACUCUUGACAUCCAGAGAAUUAGCCAGAGAUGGCUGAGUGCCUUCGGGAGCUCUGAGACAGGUGCUGCAUGGCUGUCGUCAGCUCGUGUUGUGAAAUGUUGGGUUAAGUCCCGCAACGAGCGCAACCCUUAUCCUUUGUUGCCAGCGAUUCGGUCGGGAACUCAAAGGAGACUGCCGGUGAUAAACCGGAGGAAGGUGGGGAUGACGUCAAGUCAUCAUGGCCCUUACGAGUAGGGCUACACACGUGCUACAAUGGCGUAUACAAAGAGAAGCGAGCCUGCGGGGGGAAGCGGACCUCAUAAAGUACGUCGUAGUCCGGAUUGGAGUCUGCAACUCGACUCCAUGAAGUCGGAAUCGCUAGUAAUCGUAGAUCAGAAUGCUACGGUGAAUACGUUCCCGGGCCUUGUACACACCGCCCGUCACACCAUGGGAGUGGGUUGCAAAAGAAGUAGGUAGCUUAACCUUCGGGAGGGCGCUUACCACUUUG